ensembl:lncRNA
GUGGAGGUGGUCAGAGUGACUGGUAGUGGAGGUGGUCUGAGUGACUGGUAGUGGAGGUGGUCAGAGUGACUGGCCGUGGAGGUGGUCAGAGUGACUGGUAGUGGAGGUGGUCUGAGUGACUGGUAGUGGAGGUGGUCUGAGUGACUGGUAGUGGAGGUGGUAACUCAUGCGUCAGAGUGACUGGUAGAGGAGGUGGUCUGAGUGACUGGUAGUGGAGGUGGUCUGAGUGACUGGCCGUGGAGGUGGUCAGAGUGACUGGUAGUGGAGGUGGUCUGAGUGACUGGUAGUGGAGGUGGUCUGAGUGACUGGUAGUGGAGGUGGUCUGAGUGACUGGUAGUGGAGGUGGUCUGAGUGACUGGUAGUGGAGGUGGUCUGAGUGACUGGUAGUGGAGGUGGUCUGAGUGACUGGUAGUGGAGGUGGUCUGAGUGACUGGUAGUGGAGGUGGUCUGAGUGACUGGUAGUGGAGGUGGUAUCUCAUGGUGGUCUCUUUCCCAUCAUUAG